rnacentral:tRNA from 2 species
GGAGGCGUAGCCCUAAUUGGUAAGGCACCNNUGGUAAGGCACCGCACUCGAAAUGCGGCGGGCGCAAGCCCUUGGGGGUUCGAGUCCCUCCGCCUCCG